UCAGAGGCGCUCUGACUCCAUUCACUCCAGAAUCCUCCACAGCCUACGACCUGUCCAGACUGCUGCAGCACAGGCUCAGGAUAUCACUACACGGACAACUUUCCCCCUGCUUCGUCUGUGAUUUCCUCAGAGGACCCGCUCCUUUGGAUUAUAUUGUUUUAAGCUCAUUAUUUAACUAUUAUAUGAAAUACUUUUGCGCGUAAACUCUCUCUUAAUUUCUAAAUGAUCCAAAACAAGGAGAGUUGAUUUUCUUAUCCAGUAACUGAUUAAACUAAGCUUAAAUGUACAGUCUGUUUGUUAGAAGGUGAAGGACAAGUGCAAUGCGCGUCAGGACUGUCUCUUGGGAUUGUCCCACUUGAGCCUGAGGAGCUAUGUCGACUUGAGGAGGACGCAGCCCAGUGUGAAUAACAAGACUUCCAGCCUCUUCAGCCUUUCACAUUUACAAGCAAGUGCAACCCGGAGUCUGACUUGAGCCCCUUGAGCAGCUCUGACACACCGGUUUCUCUCCCCGAGGGGAUGGUUGUGGAUCCUCUGGGGCCAGGAGCGACUCUGCGGCUCCUACAGAAUAGCACCUUCUUUUUGUUUGGCGUUAAAUCGAAAUUAAAGGGAGAUGAGAGCCGCACUUUGUUCUUUCCUCCUGUGGACGACGUACCUGCUGCUGGCCACCGCUGAGGAAGUGCAGUUUCCCCAGGAGCUGAUAGACAGACUGGCCCACAGUGAAAUCCACAGCAUCAGCGACCUCCAGCGGCUCCUGGAGAUUGACUCCGUAGGUACGGGAAACGAUGUUAUCGAGGAGCGCAAGCACCAGAAGCACCACAACCAUCAUAAAAACUACUCCCGUCACCAUGGUUACUACAAUGACCUGAAGAACUCCCAGCUCCAUAGCCGGCGCAAAAGGAGUAUUGUAGAGGAGGCGGUCCCGGCGGUGUGUAAGACACGAACGGUGAUCUACGAGAUCCCCAGGAGCCAGGUGGAUCCAACAUCAGCCAACUUUCUGAUAUGGCCGCCUUGUGUGGAGGUGAAGCGUUGCACGGGGUGCUGCAACACCAGCAACAUGCGCUGCCACCCUUCACGCAGGCACACCCGCACCGUUAAGGUGGCGAAAGUGGAGUAUGUGAGAAGGAGACCCAAGCUGAAAGAGGUUUUGGUGCGGUUAGAAGACCACCUGGAGUGUGCAUGCACAUCCCAACAUCAUGUGGUGGAGCACUCAGAAGCAGAAACAGGCAACCAUAGGGCUAAAGGUAAAAAAAGGAAACAAAAAAGAAAAACGCUAAGGUCCAGCAAGGAUUUAUUGGCAACAUAAUAAAGUUGCACUCAUUACCCAAAGUCCACUGGAGAGCUGUGAAGGGAACAGUGGAUGUGAGGUGAGACCACUGAGAAUGAGGGACUUCAGCAUGGGAGGGAUCCUAACAGAGGAUGCUACAAAUGGGAGACCUGGCCUGUCCACUUCCCCACCACCAUGCUACCUCCAUUAAAAACAAACUUUCAUGUAAAGCCAAGAGACUAAGAAUAGACAACAGACAAAAAUAAAUAAGAUGCCAAAGGUGCUUUUUUAAAAAACAAUAACCAGUGAUGAUGUUUUCCUCUGUGGUACGCCACCUAUCCAGUCAAAAGAACCCUGCCGCUGCUGAGGAAGCAAGCCCGGCUUGGUCAAAAAGAGGCUGAAGGGAGAUGAUGAAAGGGAUUUGUGUUGAACAUUUUGACAUACUUUGUUUGAACAAGACACACAACAGAGAUGGCCAUGAAACAGUUGGCUCAAGCUUUGGUGGGAAUCUGUUGCUUGGACUCCGAAACAGUGGUGGAUGACCUCCAGCUGGGCAACAUGAAAGUGCCCUGCGCUGUUUAAAAGACUCUUACACAGGACAAAAGACAGAAGGAAAGACAGAGGAAAAGGAGAGAACAGUGGGAGAGAAUGUUUUGUUUUAAAGACUCUCUCUGGAGCUUCAAACAUUUUCCAAGUAACGAAGAAAACUUUUGUUCUGAUGACCCUGCUGGUUUGUGACUUUGCUUGUGCUAUGUACAGAUGAAUCUGAAAAGGAAGACGCACCGCUACUUACAAACUAUUUAUAUGCGUGGACAUUUGGUUUCUGUCUCUUCCAGUACAAAAGAAAGAAAGAACAAAGAUGUUUUUAUGAUUUUGGAGACAUGCAUGAGUUCUGUGUGGUCUGCUUCUCCGUAACCAACACAAUCUCAAUGUCAUUUUUUUAGUUGUCAUUUUUGUCAUCCAUGUUUCUUAUUAUAUUACAGUGUAUCUGAAUGAUGUCAAGUCUUGUAAAUGGUUUGGAUAUAUGUGUGCAAGGAGGAGAUGUGAGAGUCAGUACAGGAAGAUGCUUUAUUUUUGUUAUGAAAUAUAUUAUGCUUACUUAUAUCCAAGCAGGAUUUAUGUUUUUUUGUUGCGAUUAAUGUCUGUAUUUAAUCCAUUGGAUAACAUGCAAAAAUGUUGGGAGGAAGUACAGUGGAAGAGAUGGGGGUGGGGGGGUGGGUAGGGGCUUUCUUGCCAGUCUGUACAUCAGCAUUGUGCAGUGGAAGUGUAUGGAAAAUGGUUUUGUAUCUCAAACAUGGCAAAUGAGUGGCCACACUGGAGCUUAUCGUACAGCUAUAAUAAGCAUGGCCCUAUCCUUUACAUGAUAAUUUUAUACAAAGAUGCCUACAUUAAGGUGCAUUGGAGUGUGUGCAACCAAUCGCAGAAGCACACAAGCGUGCAAGUAUGCAUAUACAAGGGAGAAAGACAGGGUGCGUGUGAUUUCAUACACACAUUUCAUCUUGUACGAAACUGUUUUUUUACCUAUAUCAGUCUAAUGUUGAUAAGGAAGAUGUCUGCCUGGCCCACUUCGCUAGUACACAUGCAGUGCCUGCAAAGAGCAAAGUUCACCUUCACUAACUUAAAGAGUGAAUGAAUGAGCAAAGCAAAUCGACAUGCGCAUGAAUGGGCUUCUUGUUUAGUUAGUCUUAACUCAUCUGUUGACAGGAGAACAAAUCUCGGAUCGCUCCACCCUUUGAAGGAACUCACACCUUACGCAGCCACAUGCCACCAGGAUAUAUGUGAUGAGGAGUGCUCUGAGGUAGCCUGUACAAAGCUACCCUGAACCCAUGCCCCAAUGGAACAAACAAUUACUUCCUUACCAGUUCCUGUAACAGUGAUGAAUGUGUGCCCGAGCCGACACGCUUCAAAAACAUCAGUUGCUUUCCACAAAUGAGGAAGUCUGAUGGUGAGGAGGGAGAGUGAGUCACUUUGAGUCAAAUGAAAGUCAAGUGAAAAAACAUUUGACUGUAACAUGGCUGUAUCAGCUGCUGUUGACUUGUGUACAACUGACCUUAUUAUUGCACACACAUGCACACACACACACACACACACACACACAGAGCCCACCUGUGAAUUAAUUCAUCAUUUGACUGGUGCUAUAUUAAAAAGGCUGACAUUUCAUCACAGUUAAGCAUUUCCAUAUCAAUGUGUUCUCAGUAAACCGGGGACCACGUUUAGAGCUGUCUGAUUAAA